GGAUUUGCUAGCUGGGCCCUGGCUCCCAGAAGCAGUGGUUUGGGAAGAGAAAAGAAGAAGACAUUCCUGGGUGGCCACGUGGUCACCCUGGGGGUGGAGCUGCAGGCAUGUGGCCCCCAGCUACUAAAGGCAAAGUUACCAGUGGAAUUCGGAGAUGAAUCCAAUCUUGGGCACAAACCCCAUGACUUCAGGGCUGGUCAGUUACCCCCCGGGGUUUUGCCUCUGGGCCCCAGGAAAAUGUCUCCGAGGAACCACUGAGCACUUAUGGAAUCUUCCCAACUUCUGUUCCUAGAGGUAUGUUACAAACACAAAUUCCCUUUGGGGAGAAGGUUUUUUUUUGAGAGAAGAAGUAUGAGCAGGGGAGGGGCAGAGAGAAUUCUAAGGCGGCUCUGCACCAUCAGCACAGAGCCCAACAUGGGGCUCAAACUCAUGAACCGUAAGAUCAUGACCUGAGCCAUAAUUGAGCGUUACUUGGACACUUAACCAAAGUAGCCAUCCAGGCACCCUGGGGAGAAGGCUCUCUGUAGGGUGGGGGGGUACCCCUUUACCAGGAGCCCAGAGUAUCUUGGCACUCCCUCCAGGAAGCCCACAGAGAAAUACAAUACAGCAACAAUUGAGACUUAAGGGACAUUUAUUUUUUUGAAAGGGUGGAGGGGACUUUACAAGUAGAGUCUGAAGCCAAUAACUAGAAAGGAAGAUAAAUAAAAUA